UGAGGAAUAUUGGUCAAUGGGCGAGAGCCUGAACCAGCCAAGUCGCGUGAGGGAAGACGGUCCUAUGGAUUGUAAACCUCUUUUGUCGGGGAGCAAUAAAGCGUACGCGUACGCAGAUGCGAGUACCCGAAGAAAAAGCAUCGACUAACUCCGUGCC
rnacentral:rRNA from 1 species